rnacentral:rRNA from 1 species
UUGCUUGCAACUAACACGAGUGGCGCACGGGUGAGUAACGCGUACGCGACCUGCCCUCAAGCGGAGGAUAGCCCCGGGAAACUGGGAUUAAUACUCCAUAGUCUGUGAGAACCACCUGAUUUUCACAGUAAAGCUCCGGUGCUUGAGGAUGAGCGUGCGUCCUAUUAGGUAGUUGGUGAGGUAAUGGCUCACCAAGCCGACGAUAGGUAGGGGGCGUGAGAGCGUGGACCCCCACACGGGUACUGAGACACGGACCCGACUCCUACGGGAGGCAGCAGUAAGGAAUAUUGGACAAUGGACGCAAGUCUGAUCCAGCCAUCCCGCGUGCAGGAUGACGGCCCUCUGGGUUGUAAACUGCUUUUAUGAGGGAAGAAACCCCUAGACAUGUCUGGGGCUGACGGUACCUCACGAAUAAGCACCGGCUAAUUCCGUGCCAGCAGCCGCGGUAAUACGGAAGGUGCAAGCGUUAUCCGGAAUCACUGGGUUUAAAGGGUGCGUAGGCGGCUAAGUAAGUCAGAGGUGAAAGGCCAGCGCUUAACGUUGGAAUUGCCUUUGAUACUGCAUAGCUUGAAUCAGGAUGAGGUGAGCGGAAUGUGGCAUGUAGCGGUGAAAUGCAUAGAUAUGCCAUAGAACACCAAUUGCGAAGGCAGCUCCCUGGCCCUGUAUUGACGCUGAGGCACGAAAGCGUGGGGAGCGAACAGGAUUAGAUACCCUGGUAGUCCACGCCCUAAACGAUGUUCACUCGAUGUGCGACUUUUAGUUGCGCGUCCAAGCGAAAGCGUUAAGUGAACCACCUGGGGAGUACGUCGGCGACGAUGAAACUCACAGGACCCGACGGGGGUCCGCACAAGCGGUGGAGCAUGUGGGGAACGUCGAUGGAUACGCGAGGAACCUGACCUAGGCUAGAAUGCGCGCGCUAUUCCGAGAAAUCGGGAAGUUCCCUUCGGGACACGAGCCAGCGUGCUGCAUGGUUGUCGUCAGCUCGUGCCGUGAGGUGUUGGGUUAAGUCCCGCAACGAGCGCAACCCUUGUCCUUAGUUGCCAGCAUGUUAUGAUGGGGACUCUAAGGAGACUGCCGGCGUAAGCCGCGAGGAAGGUGGGGAUGACGGUCAAAUCAUCAUGGCGUCACUGCCUAGGGCUACACACGUGCUACAAUGGUGCAUACAGAGGGUAGCGAAGCCGCGAGGUGGAGCCAAUCUCAGAAAGUGCAUCCCAGUUCGGAUUGGAGUCUGCAACCCGACUCCAUGAAGGUGGAAUCGCUAGUAAUCGCGCAUCAG